rnacentral:rRNA from 1 species
UACGAAGGGGGCUAGCGUUGCUCGGAAUUACUGGGCGUAAAGCGCACGUAGGCGGCUUUCUAAGUCGGGGGUGAAAUCCUGGAGCUCAACUCCAGAACUGCCUUCGAUACUGGAGAGCUCGAAUCCGGGAGAGGUGAGUGGAAUUCCGAGUGUAGAGGUGAAAUUCGUAGAUAUUCGGAAGAACACCAGUGGCGAAGGCGGCUCACUGGACCGGCAUUGACGCUGAGGUGCGAAAGCGUGGGGAGCAAACAGG